rnacentral:rRNA from 1 species
CAGUAACGGCGAGUGAAGCGGCAACAGCUCAAAUUUGAAAUCUGGCCCCCCGCGGGCCCGAGUUGUACUUUGGAGAGGACGCUUCUGGCGCGGCGCCGUCCGAGUUCCCUGGAACGGGACGCCGGAGAGGGUGAGAGCCCCGUACGGGCGGCCGCCUAGCCUCUGCGAAGCUCCUUCGACGAGUCGAGUAGUUUGGGAAUGCUGCUCAAAAUGGGAGGUAAAUUUCUUCUAAAGCUAAAUACCGGCCAGAGACCGAUAGCGCACAAGUAGAGUGAUCGAAAGAUGAAAAGCACUUUGAAAAGAGGGUCAAACAGUACGUGAAAUUGUUGAAAGGGAAGCGCCUGUGGCCAGACUUGCGCCCCGCGGACCACCCGGCGCCUCGCGCGCCGGGGCACGCCAGCGGGGCGCAGGCCAGCAUCGGCUCUCUCGGGGGGACAAAGGCCGCGGGAACGUAGCGCCCUCGCGGCGUAUUAUAGCCCGCGGCGCCAUGCCCCCGGGGGGGCCGAGGACCGCGCUCCGGCAAGGAUGCUGGCGUAAUGGCCACCGGCGACCCGUCUUGAAACACGGACCAAGGAGUCAAGCAUUGGGGCGAGUGUCUGGGUGGCAAGCCCGCACGCGGAAUGAAAGUGAACGCAGGUGGGAGCUUCGGCGCACCACCGACCGAUCCUGAUGUCCUCGGAUGGAUUUGAGUAGGAGCCCCGCCGCUUGGACCCGAAAGAUGGUGAACUAUGCCUGUAUAGGGUGAAGCCAGAGGAAACUCUGGUGGAGGCCCGCAGCGGUUCUGACGUGCAA